rnacentral:rRNA from 1 species
UACGUAGGGUGCGAGCGUUGCCCGGAUUUAUUGGGCGUAAAGGGCGCGUAGGCGGCUCUCAGCAGUGGCGCGUGGAAUCUCCCGGCUCACCUGGGAGGGGCCGUGCCAGACGGGGGAGCUGGAGGCAGGUAGAGGGUCGCGGAACGGGCGGAGUAGGGGUGAAAUCCGUAGAGACCGUCCGGAACACCGAUGGCGAAGGCAGCGACCUGGGCCUGUCCUGACGCUGAGGCGCGAAAGCGUGGGGAGCGAACGGA